UUACAGCCAUAUCACGCUGAAACAUCAGUCCUCAUACGAUCACCGAAGAUAAGCAACAUCAAGUCUGGUCAGUACCUAAAUGGGUGACCACGUGGAAAUAACAAGUGCUGCAU